rnacentral:rRNA from 1 species
GACGAACGCUGGCGGCGUGCUUAACACAUGCAAGUCGAACGGAAAGGCCCUGCUUUUGUGGGGUGCUCGAGUGGCGAACGGGUGAGUAACACGUGAGUAACCUGCCCUUGACUUUGGGAUAACUUCAGGAAACUGGGGCUAAUACCGGAUAGGAGCUCCUGCUGCAUGGUGGGGGUUGGAAAGUUUCGGCGGUUGGGGAUGGACUCGCGGCUUAUCAGCUUGUUGGUGGGGUAGUGGCUUACCAAGGCUUUGACGGGUAGCCGGCCUGAGAGGGUGACCGGCCACAUUGGGACUGAGAUACGGCCCAGACUCCUACGGGAGGCAGCAGUGGGGAAUAGUGCACAAUGGGCGGAAGCCUGAGGCAGCAACGCCGCGUGCGGGAUGACGGCCUUCGGGUUGUAAACCGCUUUCGCCUGUGACGAAGCGUGAGUGACGGUAAUGGGUAAAGAAGCACCGGCUAACUACGUG